GUGAUAUACAUAACAAUUUUCAGAGUCAGUAGGUCCCCAUAUGAGUGAUAUUUCCUUUGUUUGUGCCCUGGAAUCUUGGAUAAUUGAAGGUAGAUUACGCCAGGCCUUGCUCCACCCACGACUGAUGAACUGCUGGGUUCACUCACUUAUCCAGCAAACAUUUAUUGAAGGCCAGCAAAGUGGCAGGCAUUGUUCUAUGGGCUGGCGAGUCAGCUAUAAACAAGACAGAUGCCGUGCGGUCGCCAAGAAACUAGGAGAAAACAGCCAGGUAGAGAAGCUGCUUCUUGAAGAUGGAGCCCGGAGAGCAUCCCAGCCAAAGCGGCUGCCAAACCGGUAACUGCCAGACCUGCGAUCUGCGCAUCCGCCACUAAACAAGGAUGGAUAAUGGCAAAACGUCGCUCACCCACAGAGACUGAAUGUCCAGAAUAAAGUCUGAUCCUGCGCGCAGGGAGGCAGCGCCACUAAAACACCAAGGAAAAGACCACCUGAGCCUUCAACGGCAGCACAACGCGACCUGCAGGUUAACAAGGACGCUUUUGAAGGCUACAGCGCUUUUGUGGUUGGUGUGUCCCAGUUACAGGCACUUCCGGAGGCUGUGCCAGAGGGAUUAAAUGCGGGGACAAUGCAGUGGAACGACCACUGUCCUGCU
rnacentral:lncRNA from 1 species